GCUCUCUGAUUCAGCGGCGGACGGGUGAGUAAUGCCUAGGAAUCUGCCUGAUAGUGGGGGACAACGUUUCGAAAGGAACGCUAAUACCGCAUACGUCCUACGGGAGAAAGCAGGGGACCUUCGGGCCUUGCGCUAUCAGAUGAGCCUAGGUCGGAUUAGCUAGUUGGUGAGGUAACGGCUCACCAAGGCGACGAUCCGUAACUGGUCUGAGAGGAUGAUCAGUCACACUGGAACUGAGACACGGUCCAGACUCCUACGGGAGGCAGCAGUGGGGAAUAUUGGACAAUGGGCGAAAGCCUGAUCCAGCCAUGCCGCGUGUGUGGAGAAGGUCUUCGGAUUGUAAAGCACUUUAAGUUGGGAGGAAGGGCAGUAAGUUAAUACCUUGCUGUUUUGACGUUACCGACAGAAUAAGCACCGGCUAACUUCGUGCCAGCAGCCGCGGUAAUACGAAGGGUGCAAGCGUUAAUCGGAAUUACUGGGCGUAAAGCGCGCGUAGGUGGUUUGUUAAGUUGGAAGUGAAAGCCCCGGGCUCAACCUGGGAACUGCUUUCAAAACUGGCAAGCUAGAGUAUGGCAGAGGGUGGUGGAAUUUCCUGUGUAG
rnacentral:rRNA from 1 species